AGCGUAAACGGUGUGGCAAGUCUGAUGUGAAAGGCAUGGGCUCAACCUGUGGACUGCAUUGGAAACUGUCAUACUUGAGUGCCGGAGGGGUAAGCGGAAUUCCUAGUGUAGCGGUGAAAUGCGUAGAUAUUAGGAGGAACACCAGUGGCGAAGGCGGCUUACUGGACGGUAACUGACGUUGAGGCUCGAAAGCGUGGGGAGCAAACA
rnacentral:rRNA from 1 species